rnacentral:rRNA from 1 species
UACGAAGGGGGCGAGCGUUGUUCGGAAUCACUGGGCGUAAAGGGCGCGUAGGCGGCCCUCCUAGUCGCGUGUGAAAGCCCCGGGCUCAACCUGGGAAUUGCGCGCGAUACUGCCGUGCUUGAGGACUGGAGAGGAGACUGGAAUUUACGGUGUAGCGGUGAAAUGCGUAGAUAUCGUAAGGAAGACCAGUGGCGAAGGCGGGUCUCUGGACAGUUCCUGACGCUGAGGCACGAAGGUCAGGGGAGCAAACGGG